rnacentral:rRNA from 1 species
UGGGGAAUCUUCCGCAAUGGACGAAAGUCUGACGGAGCAACGCCGCGUGAGUGAAGACGGCCUUCGGGUUGUAAAGCUCUGUGAUCCGGGACGAAAGAGCCUGAGGUGAAUAGCCUAAGGAAGUGACGGUACCGGAAAAGCAAGCCACGGCUAACUACGUGCCAGCAGCCGCGGUAAUACGUAGGUGGCAAGCGUUGUCCGGAAUUAUUGGGCGUAAAGCGCGCGCAGGCGGCUUCCUAAGUCCAUCUUAAAAGUGCGGGGCUUAACCCCGUGAUGGGAUUGAAAAUGGGAAGGUGGAGUAUCGGAGAGGAAAGUGGAAUUCCUAGUGUAGCGGUGAAAUGCGUAGAGGUUAGGAAGAACACCGGUGGAGAAGGCGACUUUCUGGACGAAAACUGACGCUGAGGCGCGAAAGCGUGGGGAGCAAACAGG